rnacentral:rRNA from 1 species
UACGGAGGGGGCUAGCGUUGUUCGGAAUUACUGGGCGUAAAGCGCGCGUAGGCGGACCUGCAAGUCGGGGGUGAAAGCCCGAGGCUCAACCUCGGAACUGCCUUCGAUACUGCGGGUCUCGAGUCCGGGAGAGGUGAGUGGAAUUCCUAGUGUAGAGGUGAAAUUCGUAGAUAUUAGGAAGAACACCAGUGGCGAAGGCGGCUCACUGGCCCGGUACUGACGCUGAGGCGCGAAAGCUAGGGGAGCGAACGGG